GACGAACGCUGGCGGCGUGCUUAACACAUGCAAGUCGAACGGAAAGGCCCUUCGGGGUACUCGAGUGGCGAACGGGUGAGUAACACGUGGGUGAUCUGCCCUGCACUUUGGGAUAAGCCUGGGAAACUGGGUCUAAUACCGAAUAGGACCACGCGCUUCAUGGUGUGUGGUGGAAAGCUUUUGCGGUGUGGGAUGGGCCCGCGGCCUAUCAGCUUGUUGGUGGGGUAAUGGCCUACCAAGGCGACGACGGGUAGCCGGCCUGAGAGGGUGACCGGCCACACUGGGACUGAGAUACGGCCCAGACUCCUACGGGAGGCAGCAGUGGGGAAUAUUGCACAAUGGGCGCAAGCCUGAUGCAGCGACGCCGCGUGAGGGAUGACGGCCUUCGGGUUGUAAACCUCUUUCAAUAGGGACGAAGCGCAAGUGACGGUACCUAUAGAAGAAGCACCGGCCAACUACGUGCCAGCAGCCGCGGUAAUACGUAGGGUGCGAGCGUUGUCCGGAAUUACUGGGCGUAAAGAGCUCGUAGGUGGUUUGUCGCGUUGUUCGUGAAAACUCACAGCUUAACUGUGGGCGUGCGGGCGAUACGGGCAGACUAGAGUACUGCAGGGGAGACUGGAAUUCCUGGUGUAGCGGUGGAAUGCGCAGAUAUCAGGAGGAACACCGGUGGCGAAGGCGGGUCUCUGGGCAGUAACUGACGCUGAGGAGCGAAAGCGUGGGGAGCGAACAGGAUUAGAUACCCUGGUAGUCCACGCCGUAAACGGUGGGUACUAGGUGUGGGUUCCUUCCUUGGGGUCCGUGCCGUAGCUAACGCAUUAAGUACCCCGCCUGGGGAGUACGGCCGCAAGGCUAAAACUCAAAGGAAUUGACGGGGGCCCGCACAAGCGGCGGAGCAUGUGGAUUAAUUCGAUGCAACGCGAAGAACCUUACCUGGGUUUGACAUGCACAGGACGCCGGCAGAGAUGUCGGUUCCCUUGUGGCCUGUGUGCAGGUGGUGCAUGGCUGUCGUCAGCUCGUGUCGUGAGAUGUUGGGUUAAGUCCCGCAACGAGCGCAACCCUUGUCCUAUGUUGCCAGCGGGUUAUGCCGGGGACUCGUAGGAGACUGCCGGGGUCAACUCGGAGGAAGGUGGGGAUGACGUCAAGUCAUCAUGCCCCUUAUGUCCAGGGCUUCACACAUGCUACAAUGGCCGGUACAAAGGGCUGCGAUGCCGUGAGGUGGAGCGAAUCCUUUCAAAGCCGGUCUCAGUUCGGAUCGGGGUCUGCAACUCGACCCCGUGAAGUCGGAGUCGCUAGUAACCGCAGAUCAGCAACGCUGCGGUGAAUACGUUCCCGGGCCU
rnacentral:rRNA from 1 species